GCACCGGGGAUGGUCUAGCCAUGCGAGUCAUUGUAGCAAUACAAGGCAGACGGCUCAGUAACGCGUAGUCAACCUAACCUAUGGACGGGAAUAAUCUCGGGAAACUGAGAAUAAUGCCCGAUAGAACACUAUAUCCGGAAUGGUUUGUGUUCCAAAUGAUUUAUCGCCAUAGGAUGGGACUGCGGCCUAUCAGUUUGUUGGUGAGGCAAAGGCUCACCAAGCCUUUAACCGGUACGGGCCGUGAGAGCGGGAGCCCGGAGAUGGGCACUGAGACAAGGGCCCAGGCCCUACGGGGCGCAGCAGUUACGAAAACUCCGCAAUGCACGAAAGUGUGACGGGGCUACCCCGAGUGCCGUCCGCUGAGGGCGGCUUUUCCCUGGUGUAAGGAGCCGGGGGAAUAAGGAGAGGGCAAGUCUGGUGUCAGCCGCCGCGGUAAUACCAGCUCUCCGAGUGGUAGGGAUGUUUAUUGGGCUUAAAGCGUCCGUAGCUGGCCUGACAAGUCUUCCGUUAAAUCUACCGAUUCAAUCGCUAGACCGCGGGGGAUACUGUUGGGCUAGGGGGUGGAAGAGGCCGACGGUAUUCUCGGGGUAGGGGUAAAAUCCUAUAAUCCCGGGAAGACCACCAGUGGCGAAGGCGGUCGGCUAGGACGCGCUCGACGGUGAGGGACGAAAGCUGGGGGAGCGAACCGGAUUAGAUACCCGGGUAGUCCCAGCUGUAAACGAUGCGGGCUAGGUGUUGGAGCGGCUACGAGCCGCUUCAGUGCCGCAGGGAAACCAUUAAGCUCGCCGCCUGGGGAGUACGGCCGCAAGGCUGAAACUUAAAGGAAUUGGCGGGGGAGCACCACAAUGCGUGAAGCUUGCGGUUCAAUUGGAGUCAACGCCGGGAAUC
rnacentral:rRNA from 1 species